rnacentral:rRNA from 1 species
UACGGGGGGGGCAAGCGUUGUUCGGAAUUACUGGGCGUAAAGGGCGCGUAGGCGGCCUUCUAAGUCGGACGUGAAAUCCCUCGGCUUAACCGAGGAACUGCGUCCGAUACUGAAAGGCUUGAAUCCGGGAGAGGGAUGUGGAAUUCCAGGUGUAGCGGUGAAAUGCGUAGAUAUCUGGAGGAACACCGGUGGCGAAGGCGGCAUCCUGGACCGGUAUUGACGCUGAGGCUCGAAAGCGUGGGUAGCAAACAGG